rnacentral:lncRNA from 1 species
UGAUCUUCUUAACUGGUCUUACUGCAAAGGGAGCAAAGUACACAACCACCACUGACAUAUAUAAGUUCAUACAUAAAAACUAGAGUUUCCAUGCAAUCAGAUUGCCUUUAUUUUUUCACCACCUGGUUGCUGUGUUCUCUUGCAGUUCCAGGAGGCUAUAUAAAGCAAGUUCUUGACACAAGUAAACACUAAGACAGCAGCCGGCCGGAUGGCCUUUAUUUAUCAUCACCUGGUGUACUGUCCCAGGUGGAGGUUGUACAUGCACUACUGUUCCAGCAGGUUGUACAUGUACUCUACUAUGCAUACAACAACAGCAAGCUCACUUGAUCGACCCGACGGCCACCACUGCCGCCGCGGGCUUCGCCACCCCCCUGUACCUCUUGGCGAGCAGCACGAAGAGCGCC